AAACUGUUGUAACCUUUGGUAGCUCAAUAAAAUCCCCUUGGCUUGUGUGAGAUGACUUGAAACAAAGCAAUAAAUGCCAAAGCAAUCAAAAAAUAAGAAACCAACAUCCGACUUUUACUCGGUCCGCCGCCUUAGCCUUCAAUUCACCUCAAACACCCGGUUAGACCCAUCUCAAUCCUUUAUUUUUUACCCAAAGUCUCAGCUAUCCAUCCAGAGCCCUGAUUUGACCACCCCUAGACUGGUCUGACCCAAUUUUUUUAAAAUUACAAAGAUAUACCCGAAUUUCCUAAAUUUACAAAACUACCCUUAGCCUAAUAUAAAAUUUAACCUAAACUCUUCAUUUGGGCGAAUGCACUAUUCACUCUCUUCCUCCCAUGACACACAGCGAAUGCACAAAACUACCCAAAGUCUCCAACCAUCGGCGGCGGCACCCCCAAACCACUCUCUUCUUUCUUCUUCUUCUUCCUCCUCCUUCCUCUGUUUUCGUCUUUGUCAGAAGCAGUGGCGGUUUCUCCGCCCGCCCGUACUCCCUCUCUUUCUUCUCCUUUUCCCUUUCUUCUUCUACUUCUUCCUCUUUCUUUUUCUUUCUUGGAUUCACCCUCCCCUGUUACUCCCUGCCGCUGCAACUUCGAGCAGCGGCGGUUGCACUGUUCAUUCUUUCCCUUCUCCUUCUUACCAUUGCUGUCAAGACCGAAAAUCGACCAGAUGCACCAUCGUCCCUCUCUCUCUCAUCUAGAUUAAACCAACGUUUGCUCAACUCUGAGACGGCGGCUGCGAGAAGAGGUUCCAACAUCGAGUAACAGUGGCCACCUCCGGCCAGAUCUCUCUAUUACUCUCUCCUCCUUCUCAUAGGUUCCCUGUCUUUCAGCCGAAUCUACCGAUCGCCUUCUACUUUUGGACAUCGAGCAAAGGCGGCGGCAACCUUCAUCUACCUUCUGUUUUUUACCUGUUCGAGAUCCCAAGCACCAGGAGGAGCGGCACCCUUCUCCGGCGAUCAAAUUCUGACUAAAAUCCAUUCCCUGAUUGUCAUUGUCAUUGUCAUUCAAAGAGAAAGCUCCGAGACAUGAAUCCUCCAUUGUAGCACUUCACAUAGAGGCAAUACUCCUUCUGGCUCCAUUGUUAUGUGUUACGUUGUUUUCUUUGUUUUCUCGUCGGUUGUUCCACAUCUGCAGCUAGGAGGAGAGAGACCGGGCUAAUCAGACUCUUGUAUCUCUCGGUACCAACGCAGAUCCACUGUUCACUUAUUGAGAUAGCUGCUUUUCUAACUCAAUCAAUCACUUAUUUAGAAGAAGAAUCUCUGGUUUUUUAUUGCUGUUUUGUUUUUCUGGUUCUUAUUACUGUUCUGUUUUUCUUUCCGAAUCAACGUUUUGGAUGUUAAUUAGUUCCGAUUGAAUGGAGAAGAUUGAUUUGUGCCACCUCUUGUUAGUUCUCUUGUUAGUCUCUUGUAGUCUUGUAGAUAGUUCCUUGUUAGUCUCUUCUUAUAACAAUUGUUGGUUGACGGUCAUUUUAGAUUAUGGUUACUUAAUUUGGACUAUUUAAUUGCUGAAUUGAUAUAUUAAAUGAGCAUAAAUUGUUUGUGUUUGGAAAUUCAUGUGGGUCCCAUUUAUUGGAUCAGGGAGAGGGGUGCCUAAUCACUUCACUCUCCCAUCAUAGACUUACCCGGAUUGGUUGGAUGGAUGCCUUAGGUUGUGGGAAUUCUUAUUGAGCCAAAACUAUUUUAAAUCAUUCUCGGAGGUCCCAUCACUUCCAUUUCUUAAUCUGAUGGAUGACAAUUCUAUUUUUAGCUCAAGAGGCAAGUGAACCAAUUUUUCUGACGCUCACAACCAUUACAAAAAACAAUAGAAAAAUUAAACUAGAAUCACAAUAAAAUAAUAGAAAAACUAAAUCAGAAAAUCUGGAACAAUGAGUUCCCAACAACAAAUCAAAAAUCAAAAACUAACUAGAAUCACAAUUAUUGCAGACUUGGAACAAAUCAAAAAUAAAAAAUAACAUCAAUGAGUUCCCAACAACAAAAAACACAGAUUUGUUUCCCAACAUUAACAGCAGAACUGAGUUCCCAACAACAAAAAAUGGCAGAUCUAUUAUAAACACAACAAAAAACGCUAGAACUAAUGAGUUCCAAUGUUAAAAUUCCAGAUCUGGUGCUAAGAAUUGGAAUGGUGAGAUGACGCCAGAGAUGCUAGAAAAAAUGUUGUAUCUGAAGGAGGAAUUCGUUCAACGAAAGAAAACGACAAUGAGAUGAAGGGGGAAUUCAUAAACGAAAGAAGACAAAAAUGAUACAAAAAUGAAUUGAAAUCGCAACGGGAUGCUAGAUCCGAGCUUACCUUUGAAAGAAAUCGUCGAAGAUGGCGUCAAAGAGAUGACAGUUGGAUGGCAUGUAGGAAGAACACGACUGUCUUCGAGGUGCUCUCAAUAAUAUUUUCUCACGAAUGGCCAAGUUUUCUUUUCCCAGCGGGUUCUCACCAUUUUGGUGUAACCCUGUGCAUCGAGUUUUGGGAACCCGUGUCCCACCUCUUUCUCUUUCAAUCCUAGCUUUUCCUUCAAAACAAACACAUGUAAAAUCAAAUAUUCUUUAAAGAUGCUUCCCAUCCCAUCCUUUUCUCAACAACCAAAUGGACCAUUAGUGUUCCAAUUUAAAUUGAGUCAACAUUUCGAACCUAAAACAUAUUGGAUCCAAUAAUCAGGGAGUUGAUGAUUCAAUUACACCUACUUUUUUCUUCAAACCAAACACAGCCUAAGGGCAAGGUCUCGAGCCCAAAUUGAUGAAUGGAUAAGUGCAAUAACCAACAGACCUCUCAUAAACUCUUUUAUAAGAGAAUGAACGAUGAUGGCUAAAAGACACUAAAUUAGAUCAUCAAUAGCCAUUUGAAGCAAGGUUUUUAACCUGUCAUUGACCCGGGUGGCCAAACCAUUUGAACCGUCACCCAAUCUCAUAAAGCCCGGUAUUUUCAUAAAAACCACUAACAAGUCAACGAACUGGAUGACCUGGACGGGAACUGGCGAUCCGGUAAGCGGGCGACAAUUUGACUGUCGACCCAUUCUCUUUUUACAUUUUUAGGUUUAAAAAUUGUAAAAUCCCUCAAAAGUCCCAACUCGAGCCCCCUUCUAUUUUUACAUUUUUCCUCACUUUCUCUGUUCUAGAUCUAGGGUUUAUGCAAGAUUUAGAACAGGAGAGGACGAACUCAUGAAGAAGACAGAUGACUGAAGAAGAUCGAUGGAAUCUGAUCUUCAGUCACCGGCGGCACCUAGCUAAACGCCAUCCUCAUUCCUCACAUUUGGGCGAUGCUAUCGGCUAUUCUUCUUUGUUUGGGUGACACUAGACCGCCGAGUUUGGGGCUUUGGGUGACACUAGUUUGGAUGACUGACGACACAACAUCACAGGCUUCAUAGCUUUCUUUGUCGCCAGUGAGCGACAACUGUAUCAACUAUCGAACUUCCAUAAUCGGAGUUCAAAGAGGUGGGUUAUUGCUGCAACUACAACCUAGAAGGUUGAAAGUUGGAACCCGAAUUCGAUUUUGGACUUUGGAGCUUGAAGUGGAAUUUUACAACAAUUUUGAAGAGGAAAAUAGAAGAGAAAGAAGUUAGAAUGUCAACGUACACCUACAACUUCACAUUCACAAUUAGCAGCAACUUCUACUUCUUCAACUGCAAAUGGUAGGGGAAAAUCUGAUCCUGCAUGGGAGCAUGUUUCCCUUCAAGUAGACCCUACUAAUGGGUCAAAAAAAUUGGCAUGCCUUUAUUGCCAAAAGUCAUGAAAUUCCAUAUGAUGUCAAGUUCAAAAUGGAACAAUUAUUGGAUGAAAAUAAUCAGAAAAGAAAAGGUGAUAAUAAAUUUCAAUGCUCUAGUGAGGGAAGUAGCUCUUUUUCUCAUCUUGGAAUUGAUGAUGAUGAUGAUGAUGAUGAUGAUGAAUUAUUGUAUGGUGAUGGUGAUGAUGAUGAUGUUCAAGCCCAAGAAAUGCCUCCAUUUGCUUCAAAUCAAGGGGGUAUUGCCAAUAAAGUAAAAAAAAAAAAAAACGAAACUUGCCACCACAGAAAGGGAAAAGCAGUACUUGGGUUGAUAACAAGUCAUUUUGCUCCACAAAUUACACCUGGAGCACAACUAGGAAUCAAAAGUGCACUUGCUUCCAAUGGGGCAAGGUUGAAUGCUGAUUGUUGUGUUAUGAGGUGGAUGUGUGAUGCAUGUAUACUUUUGAAUGCCAUAAAUUCACAAUAUUUUGAACAUAUGGUAGAUGCAAUUGUCGAUAUAGGUCCGGGGUAUAAAGCUCAUUCUUAUCAUAAUUGUAGAACACGCUUAUUGGGUCCUUUGGUUAAAGAAGUUGAGCUAUUUGUUGAAAGUCUUUGUAGUCAAUGGGAGGGAUUUGGUUGUUCUGUAAUUGUUGAUGGUUGGACAGAUAUAAGGAACACGACAGAUUAAUUUUUUAGUAUAUUGUCCAAGAGUAACUGCAUUUAUCAAAUCAAUUGAUACUUCUGACACAAUUAAGAUUGCAGAAAAUUUAUUUCUCUUGUUGAAAGAGGUUAUAAAUUGGGUUGGAGCUUCUAAUGUUGUUCACAUCACCAUUGACACAAUUAAGACUGCAAAUUGCUUGAACUUGAUGCUAAAAGAAUUUGGAGAAACGGAUUAUAUUGCUGAUGUGGUGCGACGUGCAUUUAAAAUAACAAAAUUUGUAUACAACCACAUACUUGUCUUGUCUAUGUUAAGGAAGUGACCUACUUGGACUGAGAUUGUGCAUCCCAGAGCCACCCAUUUUGUUACAAAUUUCAUUGCUUUGGAUAGUAUUUUGAUGCAUAUGGUUGAUUUGCAAAGUUUAGCUAUUGAUCCAACUUUCUAGGAAUCUAGGUAUGCAAGAGAUGCCAAGGAAAAAGAAGUCAUAAGCAUAAUAUUGAACAAUGAGUUUUGGAAAUCAUGCGAGAUAUUGUAGGAUUUACUUUACCGAUUGUCAAAGCAUUACCACUUGCAGAUUCUGAAGUUGAGCUUCCAAUAUAUAUAUAUAUAUAUAUAUAUAUAUUCAAUGUUGAAGGUGAAAGAAGCGGUUAAACAAUCAUUUAACAACAAGAAAAUCGAAUAUAGCCCGAUCAUGCAAGUUAUUGAUAAAAGAUGGAAAAAACAAAUAGGUCACAAGCUUCAUGCAACAAGUUAUUAUUUUAACCCAUUAUUUCACUAUGACCCAAAGUCAACGGCAAAAUCCCCAAUCAUCAUGUUAGGUGUUGUUGAUGUGCUUGAAAAGUUAUGUAGAGAAGAAGGAACAGAGAGAAAUGUCAACAAAGAGCUUUCAAUGUUAGAGUGUGGUUUGGGUGAUUUUGGAAGGCCAUAUGCAUUGAAUGCUAUCAAGAGAAUGGAUCCAAUGAAUGGUGAAUGAGGUUUGGUUGUCACACUCCAACUCUUAGAGAAGUUCCUAUGAAGGUUCUUAGCCAAACUUGUAGCUCUUCUAGAUGUGUGCGUAAUUGGAGCGUUUUUGAACAUGUACACACAAAGAGAAGAAACAUGUUAGAGCACCAAAGGCUCAAUGACCUUGUGUAUAUCCACUAUAACCUCCGCUUGAAGAAUAGGAAGAAGAUGAAAGGCUAUGAUCCCAUUAAGGUGGAACAUGUUGACAUCACAGGAGAAUUAGGUAGUGGAUGAUGUUGAAGAGCCUCCAUUGCUUGAUAAAGAUGAAUUAGAAAAUAGGUUCAAGGGGAAUGGUGCAACAACUCCAAUCACGGAGGUGUUAGAGAUAUCAAAGAAAAAAGGUUCUAGGGAAGAAGAUGAUGAUGAUGAUUAAGAUUUUCUUCUUGAGCCAUUGGGAGAUACGCAAGUUAAUGAAAAUGACCCAAAUGAAGUUGAAGAUGAUAAAACACAGCCGAGUGAUGAAGAUGAAACCCAAUUAUGAUAGCAAUCAUGUUCAUUAUGAGAUUGUGCUGUUAUUAACUUUUUACUCUUUGUGUUUUCUUGGGAGUUUGGACUUUGGAUUAUAGAUUAUGUAGUUAAGAACAAUUUUUCACUUUUAGGUUUUACCUUUUAUUGAUCUAAGAACUUUGAUUGUCUAUGGGCUUAUGACAGCCAUGGAGCUUGUUUGAUUUUUUUUUUUUUAAUUUUUAUAGAAUAUGAUUUUUUUUCUUUUUAGGAUAAGAAAUUACAGGUUUAUGAGGUUAUGGCAGCCAUGAGAGCUUGAUGCUUGCAUGCUCAAAGUUCAACAUUUGAACUUCAUCUUUAAAGGUAUGAAUUUCACCCCCA